rnacentral:lncRNA from 1 species
GGAAUUUUCACAUUUAGUAGAAAACUUUCAAACUGUUUUCCAGAGUGGCUGUACCAUUUUACAUCCUCCCCCACCCCCACAGCCAUAUAUGAGUGAUCCUGUUUCUCUGCAUUUCUAUACACCAGCAUUUGCUGCUGUCACUCUUUUUUAAUUUAGCUAUUCUGAUAGGUAUAUAGUGGGCUGUUACUUUGCAUUUCCCUGAUGAUUAAUGAGAUUGAACCUAAUUUCAGCUUAUGUGAAUACCAUCUCUCUAGUCCCUUUGGCUAAAUGUUUGUAUGUGUCUUCUGGCCAUUUUCUAAUUGGAAUAUUUAUUGUUGUUGUUUUUUAACUGUUGAGUUUUGAGAGUUCUUUAUGUAUUCUAGUUACUAAUCCUCUUUCAGGUAUGUAAUUUCAAAAUAUUUUCUCCCAGUGGGUAACUUGUCUUUUCAUUUUUUUUUUUUCUUGCUCUGUUGCUCUGUCGCCUAGGCUGGAGUGCAGUGGUGCAAUUAUGGAUCGAGGUUAACUGCAGUCUCAACUUCUCAACCUUGUGAAUUCAAGCAAUCCUCCCACCUCAGCCUCCCAAGUAGCCGGAACUACAGGCAUUUAACACCACAUCCAGCUAAUUUUUAAAAAAAUAUUUUGUAGAGACCGGGUCUCACCCUGUUGCCCAAGCUGAUCUCAAACUCCAUGGUUCGACCUCCUGAUGCCCAAAUCCUGGAAUUACAGGCAUAAGCCUCUGCACCUGGCUGCUUUCUUCCUCUCAAGAGCUUUUCAGAAUUCAAAUGGUUUGAAACUUUAUUGAGAUUAAAGUGAUCAUUUUUUUUUCUUUCUUUCUAUUUUGUUAUUAUUGUUGUCGUUUUGAGACAGAGUCUUACUCUGUCUCACAGGCGGGAGUGCAGUGGCAUAAUCUCGGCUCACGGAAGCCUCCACCUCCCGCAUUCAAGUGAUUCUCAUGUUUCAGCCUCCCAAGUAGCUGGGAUUACAGGUGUGUGCCACCAUGUCUGGCUAAUUUUGUAUUUUUAGUAGAGACGGGGUUUUGCCAUAUUGGCCAGCCUGGUCUCGAACUCCUGGCCUCAAGCGAUCCACCCGUCUCAGCCUCCCAAAGUGCUGGAAUUACAAGCAUGAGCCACUACACCUGGCCCAAUUUUUUUCUUUUAUGGUUCAAGUCUAUGAAUUCUUUUGUCUAUGCUUAGAUCCUGCAAAUUUUUUCCUAAAAGUUUUACAGUUUAACAUUUUACAUUUAAUUCCAUAAUUCAUUUUGAGUUAUUUUUUGUAAUAAAGUGUGAGGCUUAGGUCAAGGUGUUUUCUUUUAUUUGUUUUUGUUAUUGUUGUUUGUUUUGUUGCUGUUGAUGUCUACUUGUUCCAGUACCAUUUGCUGAAAAGACCAUCUUUUCUCCAUUGAUUAAUUUUGUAAGACCAUAACUCUUAACAUCAAAGAAGACACAACUUUAUCUAUAUUUUCUUAUAUCUAAGAAAAGCAGUAGUUUUUGUUUAGAGAGUGCUAAUUGUGUGCCAAAGCACUAUCCUAAGCUUCUUAUAUAUCUUUACCCAUUUCCUUGCCUCAAUGACUCAUUACUCAUUUAAUUGUCUUAAUAACUCCUUGAAGUAAGUAUUAUUGUUUCCAUCUCACAGAUAAUGAAACUAAAAUUUAGCCAGGUUAAAUGAUUUGCUCAAAGUCACAAAGCUAGUGAGUUGGAAAGCUGGGAUUCGGACCCAAGCGAUAUUCCCCUAAAGACUGUGCUGUUAACCUUCAUGAAUGCUGCAUUAUUUACAGUGCGCCAGAUAUUUAGCAAAAUACUGAACAUUUUGCUGUUUUUCUCACUGUUAUCACAAGGCAUUUCAACUAACGUAAUAAUAAAAGACUCUCUCCUCACAUCCCUUUUUUUAAGUUUCAUGUGUUUGAUGUUUUAUUCAUAUCAAAACCCUCAUGUCCAUGAAAAUACAAUUUAAGAGUCAAAAAGCAUAAAAUUAUAUUUCCAAAUUUGGAGUCUGUUUCACAAGCUGAAGCGCACAGUUUUGAUACCUUGACAAUCUUUCUGUUACUUGCAAACCAACUCUAUUUCAUAGGGUCUAAACACACGCACACACACACACACACACACACACACACGUACACACAAAUCCACUGGGGAAUCCCAGUGCUAUUGUUAUUAGGUACUAAUACAGCUUAGGAUUGUUUACUAAAAUCAACUCCUAUUUCCUUUUUGAUUUGUUCUUUCAGUUUGUUUCCUGGUUUCUUAGAGUAAACACAGCAAGUAUUCAUGAUAAAUGAAGGCACUAUGGAAGGAAACAACGCUAGCUGUGCUGUCAGAGAAAAAUUGAAAAAAAGUGGCGAUGCAAAAUUUCCAACAUGUAAAUAUUUUCUUUCAUAUGCAGGCAGAAAAUGGGAUAUUAAAAUAUGAGCCAACAAUAGAUUAUUAAAAAAUUUCUACUCAGUAAAAAUGAAAAAAAAAAACAAAGAAAAAUCAUCUUUUACUGUAAGGGCAUUUUGGAAUCUUCAUUUACAAAAGCAUUUCUGAAGUUGCAAAAUCUGACACAGAUGAAAGAUAAAAGAGCCAGAAAUUCCUUCUCACAUGCAAUAUCAAACUGACUUGGGUUACAGGAACGCUGUUAAACUGAGUUUGAACAAUCCUUUUUUAUUGUGUUU